rnacentral:rRNA from 1 species
UACGAAGGGGGCGAGCGUUGUUCAGAAUUACUGGGCGUAAAGGGCGCGCAGGCGGCUCUGAAAGUCAGAUGUGAAAGCCCCCGGGCUUAACCUGGGAACUGCAUUUGAUACUCUGGAGCUUGAGUACGGGAGAGGAUAGUGGAAUUCCCAGUGUAGAGGUGAAAUUCGUAGAUAUUGGGAAGAACACCGGUGGCGAAGGCGGCUAUCUGGACCUAACUGACGCUGAGGCGCGAAAAGCGUGGGGAGCAA